GGGUAUGGUUACACAGAAAAUGAGGGAGACAACAGAAGAAGAAGUUCUACAUGGGGAUGCAAGAGAAGAAGUUGUUCUACAUGGGGGCCGCGGGUGCCCUCUAGUGGUCCUGGAAUGGAACUACCGCUGGGAGGCCAUGACACAUUCAGGACUACUAUUAUGAUUAUGAGAGGGAAAAAUAUCCCUCUGUGAUUAUCAUUAUUUAGUAAACUAUUUUAUUACAAAAAAACUAUUGUUCUUUAUUUAUCCAGUGUAUACAAUAUGAAAAGGAAAGUAUGAAUAUCCGUCUGAAAUCCUCUCAGUACAACUGCAAUCACAUGGCAGAAAAAAAGGACACAAUUUGUGUCUGAAGACUGAAGACACCUCACACAGAGCUGUUUCAACAAAUGAAAUGAUUGGUUUGUCACUUCUUUUAUAACAAUUGUGUACACUAAGACUGAUAAUAAACAGAUUUUUAAGUUGUUGUUUAACAACAUUAUUGGUCACAGUGAAAUUCUUUUCUUCACAUACCCCAGCAUGUUAGGAUGUUGGGGUCAGAGCGCAGGGUCGGCCAUGAUACAGCGCCCCCUGGAGCAGAGAAGGUUAAGGGCCUUGCUCAAGAGCCCGACAGUGGCAGCGCUGGGGCUUGAACCCCCGACCUUCUGAUCAGUCACCCAGAGCCGUAACCUCCAAGCAACCGCUGCCCCUUUAUAAUUCUUGAUACGAUGACAUUUUUUUUUUCCUUAGGAGACAUUUCUUUAACAUUUAUGGAAGGAGGAAUUUGCAUUUAAUGAUGCCUACAAAAAAAUUAUAAAUGGCAAAGUUCACACAGUUACUAGAAGUUCUGGCACUGUGGACAGCUGCCAAUCGAUGGCUGCUUUGACUCUCGACAUUGUGUCCGUCUUCCAUUUGCAUACCAGCAGGAGGCACACAGACUACAGCUGCAAAUCUAAAAGCUUUCUGUGAGAACGUCUGCGUUGUACCAGCCAGUCAGGCCUCCUACUAACAACUCCAGAGUAGGAGUUAGUGUGAAUAGUGCGGAGGAGGCAAGGACGCGGUGGUACGGAAACUCGGUUUAACGCGUGCGAAACACUCGAGUAAUUCAACUUUGUUAUUAUAAUGAAGUAUUAUUUAUUCUUUACUGGAGUAUUAAUUGGAAAUUGAAUACCUGUACUCUCACUUAAUUACACUGUAGUGUCAGAUUCCUGUUCUGACAGUAUCUCACAAACGUGAGUACACCCUUCACAUGUUUGUAAAUAUUUGAUAUCUUUUCAUGUGACGAAACUGAAGAAAUGACAUUUUGCUACAAUUUGAAAAUUUGUACUUUGCUACACCAGUUUAAUUUGGGAAUUCUUUUUAAAGCAUUUGCGUAUGUUCUUAAUGUUUUCAGAGUUUUAAUGUUUUUAAAUUGGACACCAGUCACCAUCGUCCUGAGUAGGUUCUUCACACUGAAAUAUCAAAACAAAACAAAGAGACAAGUCAGCAUAACAGAUAUUAUUCAAAUUAAUAUGAUCACACUAAAUACAUGAAUGGAGGACAGAACUGCAGUUAAAAUCGACAUCGAUUCUACGGUUAUACAUCGUUCAGGCCGGACUCCACGUUAGUGACGCGUUGCAAUGUAAAGGGAAAUUAAAUAAAGCAGCAUGAGUAAAGUAUGUUUCCUUUCUCAAACAGGUCACUGGUCAGUACCCAGAAUGCAAUAGGAGGCACGUGACUGGAGCACAAAUCAAUUAACAGCCCCAUUUUGUUUUAAAAGAGCAGCCAUUACAAAAGGAAUCUUACUGGUAGCAGAUUUCUCUUCUGGAAUUCCUCGUUUCCG
ensembl:lncRNA